rnacentral:rRNA from 1 species
UACGGAGGAUGCGAGCGUUAUCCGGAUUUAUUGGGUUUAAAGGGUGCGUAGGCGGAUCGUUAAGUCAGUGGUCAAAUUGAGGGGCUCAACCCCUUCCCGCCAUUGAAACUGGCGAUCUUGAGUGGAAGAGAAGUACGCGGAAUGCGUGGUGUAGCGGUGAAAUGCAUAGAUAUCACGCAGAACCCCGAUUGCGAAGGCAGCAUGCCGGCUUCCGACUGACGCUGAAGCACGAAAGCGUGGGGAUCGAACAGG